rnacentral:rRNA from 1 species
UGGGGAAUUUUGCGCAAUGGGGGAAACCCUGACGCAGCAACGCCGCGUGGAGGAUGAAAUCCCUUGGGAUGUAAACUCCUUUCGAUAGGGAAGAUAAUGACGGUACCUAUAGAAGAAGCCCCGGCUAACUUCGUGCCAGCAGCCGCGGUAAUACGAGGGGGGCAAGCGUUGUUCGGAAUUAUUGGGCGUAAAGGGUGCGUAGGCGGUUUGACAAGUCUGAUGUGAAAUCUAUGGGCUCAACCCAUAGUCUGCAUCGGAAACUGUCGGGCUUGAGUAUGGGAGAGGUGAGUGGAAUUUCCGGUGUAGCGGUGAAAUGCGUAGAUAUCGGAAGGAACACCUGUGGCGAAAGCGGCUCACUGGACCAUUACUGACGCUGAGGCACGAAAGCUAGGGGAGCAAACAGGAUUAGAUACCCUGGUAGUCCUAGCCCUAAACGAUGAUUGCUUGAUGUGGCAGGUACCCAAUCCUGCCGUGUCGAAGCUAACGCGAUAAGCAAUCCGCCUGGGGAGUACGGUCGCAAGGC